AUUGAACGCUGGCGGCGUGCCUAACACAUGCAAGUCGAGCGGUAACAGGUGUAGCAAUACAUGCUGACGAGCGGCGGACGGGUGAGUAACGCUUGGGAAUCUGCCUGUUAGUGGGGGACAACCCGGGGAAACUCGGGCUAAUACCGCAUACGCACUACGGUGGAAAGCCGGGGACCGCAAGGCCUGGCGCUAACAGAUGAGCCCAAGUCGGAUUAGCUAGUUGGUAGGGUAACGGCCACCAAGGCGACGAUCCGUAACUGGUCUGAGAGGACGACCAGUCACACCGGAACUGAGACACGGUCCGGACUCCUACGGGAGGCAGCAGUGGGGAAUAUUGGACAAUGGGCGAAAGCCUGAUCCAGCGACGCCGCGUGGGUGAAGAAGGCCUGCGGGUUGUAAAGCCCUUUCGGUGGGGAAGAAAAGCUCGAGUUAAUACUCGGGUCUUGACGUAACCCAUAGAAGAAGCACCGGCUAACUCUGUGCCAGCCGCCGCAGUAAC
rnacentral:rRNA from 1 species